AGUACAUUCAAGGUCUGACCAUAGGAUGGUGUACACUUGUAAGGAUUCCCACUAAAAUAUGGGGUGCCUUGAAAGAGUUCUUGAGGUCAAUCUAUGUACCAAGGGGUUACAUAAAGCUUUAUAAUAGUGAUCCAAGAAGAUAAAUUUGUUCAAGAUGCGUAGAGAUUUAUGGAGUUCCGAGAUGCGUUCUUAUACUUGAUGAUUGGUUUCACGUAAACUACAUAA
rnacentral:lncRNA from 1 species